GAUGAACGCUGGCGGCGUGCCUAAUACAUGCAAGUCGAGCGAACGGACGAGAAGCUUGCUUCUCUGAUGUUAGCGGCGGACGGGUGAGUAACACGUGGAUAACCUACCUAUAAGACUGGGAUAACUUCGGGAAACCGGAGCUAAUACCGGAUAAUAUUUUGAACCGCAUGGUUCAAAAGUGAAAGACUGUCUUGCUGUCACUUAUAGAUGGAUCCGCGCUGCAUUAGCUAGUUGGUAAGGUAACGGCUUACCAAGGCAACGAUGCAUAGCCGACCUGAGAGGGUGAUCGGCCACACUGGAACUGAGACACGGUCCAGACUCCUACGGGAGGCAGCAGUAGGGAAUCUUCCGCAAUGGGCGAAAGCCUGACGGAGCAACGCCGCGUGAGUGAUGAAGGUCUUCGGAUCGUAAAACUCUGUUAGUAGGGAAGAACAUAUGUGUAAGUAACUGUGCACAUCUUGACGGGACCUAAUCAGAAAGCCACGGCUAACUACGUG
rnacentral:rRNA from 1 species